rnacentral:rRNA from 1 species
GUGUGAUGGACUGCCUUUUGCAUAAUGAGCCUGCGAGUUGUGGUGUCUGGCGAGGUUAAGGAAACCCGGAGCCGUAGCGAAAGCGAGUCUUAAUAGGGCGUUUAGUCAGAUGCUGCAGACCCGAAACGAUGUGAUCUAUCCAUGAGCAGGUUGAAGCCGGUGUAAGAGCCGGUGGAGGACCCAACCCGCUGGCGUUGAAAAGCCAUGGGAUGACUUGUGGAUAGGGGUGAAAGGUCAAUCAAACAUCGUGAUAGCUGGUUCUCUCCGAAAUAUAUUUAGGUAUAGCGUCAUGUAGUAACACUGGGGGGUAGAGCACUGAAUGGGCUAGGGCAUACACCAAUGUACCAAACCCUAUCAAACUCCGAAUACCUAGUGUGUAAUCAUGGCAGUCAGGCGGCGAGUGAUAAAAUCCGUCGUCGAGAGGGGAACAACCCAGACUAACAGCUAAGGUCCCUAAAUCUCAUUUAAGUGGAAAACGAUGUGGAGUUACUUAAACAACCAGGAGGUUGGCUUAGAAGCAGCCAUCCUUUAAAGAAAGCGUAAUAGCUCACUGGUCUAGUGAUUCUGCGCGGAAAAUAUAACGGGGCUAAAAUGAGUACCGAAGCUUUAGACUUAGUUUUACUAAGUGGUAGGAGAGCGUUGCAUUCAGCGUCGAAGGUGUACCGGUAAGGAGCGCUGGAGCGAAUGCAAGUGAGCAUGCAGGCAUGAGUAGCGAUAAUUGGGGUGAGAAUCCCCAACGCCGUAAACCCAAGGUUUCCUACGCGAUGCUCGUCAUCGUAGGGUUAGCCGGGUCCUAAGCAAAGUCCGAAAGGGGUAUGCGAUGGAAAAUUGGUUAAUAUUCCAAUGCCAACUAUAAUGUGCGAUGGAAGGACGCUUAGAGUUAAGCAAGCUAGCGGAUGGUAGUGCUAGUCGAAAGGUGUAGGUUAAGAUCCAGGCAAAUCCGGAUCUUUUUAAGCCGAGACCCCACAGGCGUUUGAAGUUCUUCGGAAUGGAUAGCGAAUUGCUGAUACUGUCGAGCCAAGAAAAGUUUCUAAGUUUAGUUAUAGUUGCCCGUACCGUAAACCGACACAGGUGGGUGGGAUGAGUAUUCUAAGGCGCGUGGAAGAACUCUCUUCAAGGAACUCUGCAAAAUAGCACCGUAUCUUCGGUAUAAGGUGUGCCUAACUUUGUGAAGGAUUUACUCCGUAAGCAUUGAAGGUUACAACAAAGAGUCCCUCCCGACUGUUUACCAAAAACACAGCACUCUGCUAACUCGUAAGAGGAUGUAUAGGGUGUGACGCCUGCCCGGUGCUCGAAGGUUAAUUGAUGACGUUAGCUCUGCGAAGCGUUUGAUCGAAGCCCGAGUAAACGGCGGCCGUAACUAUAACGGUCCUAAGGUAGCGAAAUUCCUUGUCGAUUAAAUAUCGACCUGCAUGAAUGGCGUAACGAGAUGGGAGCUGUCUCGAAGAGGGAUCCAGUGAAAUUGUAGUGGAGGUGAAAAUUCCUCCUACCCGCGGCAAGACGGAAAGACCCCGUGGACCUUUACUACAGCUUGACACUGCUAUUGGGAUAAAAAUGUGCAGGAUAGGUGGGAGGCUUUGAUCCAUAGACGCCAGUUUAUGGUGAGCCGUUGUUGAGAUACCACUCUUUUUUAUUCUGAUAGCUAACUAGCUUGAGUUAUCCUCAAGUAGGACAAUGUCUGGUGGGUAGUUUGACUGGGGCGGUCGCCUCCCAAAAUGUAACGGAGGCUUACAAAGGUUGGCUCAGAACGGUUGGAAAUCGUUCGCAGAGUAUAAAGGCAAAAGCCAGCUUAACUGCGAGACAUACACGUCAAGCAGGGACGAAAGUCGGUCUUAGUGAUCCGGUGGUUCUGUGUGGAAGGGCCAUCGCUCAAAGGAUAAAAGGUACCCCGGGGAUAACAGGCUGAUCUCCCCCAAGAGCUCACAUCGACGGGGAGGUUUGGCACCUCGAUGUCGGCUCAUCGCAUCCUGGGGCUGGAGCAGGUCCCAAGGGUAUGGCUGUUCGCCAUUUAAAGCGGUACGCGAGCUGGGUUCAGAACGUCGUGAGACAGUUCGGUCCCUAUCUGCCGUGGGCG